GACGAACGCUGGCGGCGUGCCUAAUACAUGCAAGUAGAACGCACAGUUUAUACCGUAGCUUGCUACACCAUAGACUGUGAGUUGCGAACGGGUGAGUAACGCGUAGGUAACCUGCCUGGUAGCGGGGGAUAACUAUUGGAAACGAUAGCUAAUACCGCAUAAUAUUAAUUAUUGCAUGAUAAUUAAUUGAAAGGUGCAAUUGCACCACUACCAGAUGGACCUGCGUUGUAUUAGCUAGUAGGUGAGGUAACGGCUCACCUAGGCGACGAUACAUAGCCGACCUGAGAGGGUGAUCGGCCACACUGGGACUUAGACACGGCCCAGACUCCUACGGGAGGCAGCAGUAGGGAAUCUUCGGCAAUGGACGAAAGUCUGACCGAGCAACGCCGCGUGAGUGAAGAAGGUGUUCGGAUCGUAAAGCUCUGUUGUAAGAGAAGAACGGGUGUGAGAGUGGAAAGUUCACACUGUGACGGUAUCUUACCAGAAAGGGACGGCUAGCUACGUG
rnacentral:rRNA from 1 species